rnacentral:rRNA from 1 species
UACAGAGGGUGCGAGCGUUGUCCGGAAUCACUGGGCGUAAAGGGCGCGUAGGCGGCCUGAUAAGUCGGGGGUGAAAUCCUGUGGCUUAACUGCAGGGCUGCCUCCUAGACUGUUAGGCUCGAGCACGGUAGAGGCAGAUGGAAUUCCCGGUGUAGCGGUGGAAUGCGUAGAGAUCGGGAAGAACAUCGGUGGCGAAGGCGGUCUGCUGGGCCGUUGCUGACGCUGAGGCGCGACAGCGUGGGGAGCGAACAGG